GAUUCUGUAGUGAAGUUCAUGUUGAGUUGCAAGCUCAUUGAUGUGCAUUAGAUAUGCGCCGGGAUCU
rnacentral:tRNA from 1 species